GAAAGGAGCAGUUGUGCAGACGAAAGGCUUGCAGAUUGUGUGGAACUCUUUGGACAUUUGGGCACAAAAGGGAGGGAGAACGUCUCCUGAUCUUUCUUCCACUUCAACAAUCCCAAUGUGGGGCACAAGGUUUUCCAAGUAUCCUGAUGAAGAGCUUAUGCUCGAAACAUCGACUCUCAGAUGCUGCCUUGGAGGAUUGGACUAUAUUAUUUCAGCUUAAGAAGUAUAACAGGACACAGUUUUUGCCUUUCUUCCUUGAAGUAGGAGGGAGGCCCCGCUUCCAGUUUGUGAAAGACACAUGUUCUCCUCCAGCCCAAUUCCAUUUGCCUGGGCUGAUCCGGUCAUUGAGUCCUGAAAGAUUGGAUGAAACUGUAAGGUUUAGUGCAUCUUCCAAGAGGUUCCAGUUCCUGAAGUAAUUAGGAACAUACUGAUCUCAAAGAUGUGCUGGUACACACCACUGUAUUGACUGCUUUUGUUUCCCACCACAUUACCGGAAAUGAGGAAUAAUCUGACAGAAUUUGAAGAGUGCUAUAAUUUAUGGACAACUUAAAAGCUGUUCACCAACAGCCUGUCUGAAGAAGAUAUUCUGGCACCACUGUGAUAACAUCUCUCUGAAAGGAAAACAGGACAGAAAACAUCUCUCAAAGGGAUCCACCUAUGCCAUGGAACCAACAGAAUUUUGGGUUUACGAUCUGCCUACACAUGGCAGGGAAGGACAUUUUGGAUGUCACAGUCACCCACAAAGAGAGGAUACUUGCAAAUGCAACACACGCCAUCAAUUAUAAUUUACAAUAAAAA